rnacentral:rRNA from 1 species
UACGUAGGGACCAAGCGUUGCUCGGAUUUACUGGGCGUAAAGGGCGCGUAGGCGGCGUGGUAAGUCAGCUGUGAAAUCUCCGAGCUUAACUCGGAACGGUCAGCUGAUACUGCUGUGCUAGAGUACAGAAAGGGCAAUCGGAAUUCUUGGUGUAGCGGUGAAAUGCGUAGAUAUCAAGAGGAACACCUGAGGCGAAGGCGGGUUGCUAGGCUGAUACUGACGCUGAGGCGCGAAAGCUAGGGUAGCAAACGGG